UACAGAGGUCUCAAGCGUUGUUCGGAUUCAUUGGGCGUAAAGGGUGCGUAGGCGGCGCGGUAAGUCGGGUGUGAAAUCCUUCGGCUCAACCGAAGAACGUCGAUCGAUACUGCUGUUCUUGAGGGUUGCAGAGGAGACUGGAAUUCCCGGUGUAGCGGUGAAAUGUGUAGAGAUCGGGAGGAACACCGGUGGCGAAGGCGGGUCUCUGGGCAAUUCCUGACGCUGAGGCGCGAAAGCGUGGGGAGCAAACGGG
rnacentral:rRNA from 1 species